AACGAACGCUGGCGGCAGGCCUAACACAUGCAAGUCGAGCGCACCUUCGGGUGAGCGGCGGACGGGUGAGUAACGCGUGGGAAUAUGCCCUUUGGUACGGAAUAGCCUCGGGAAACUGGGUGUAAUACCGUAUGUGCCCUUUGGCCUUGGCGGUCAUAGGGGAAAGAUUUAUCGCCAAAGGAUUAGCCCGCGUUGGAUUAGGUAGUUGGUGGGGUAAUGGCCUACCAAGCCUACGAUCCAUAGCUGGUUUGAGAGGAUGAUCAGCCACACUGGGACUGAGACACGGCCCAGACUCCUACGGGAGGCAGCAGUGGGGAAUCUUAGACAAUGGGGGCAACCCUGAUCUAGCCAUGCCGCGUGAGUGAUGAAGGCCUUAGGGUUGUAAAGCUCUUUCAGCUGGGAAGAUAAUGACGGUACCAGCAGAAGAAGCCCCGGCUAACUCCGUGCCAGCAGCCGCCGUAACAC
rnacentral:rRNA from 1 species